UAAGCAUAUCAAUAAGCGGAGGAAAAGAAACUAACAAGGAUUCCCCUAGUAACUGCGAGUGAAGCGGGAAAAGCUCAAAUUUAAAAUCUGGCAGCCUUUGGUUGUCCGAGUUGUAACCUAGAGAAGUGCUAUCCGUGUUGGACCGUGUUUAAGUCUCCUGGAAUGGAGCGUCAUAGAGGGUGAGAAUCCCGUCUUUGACAUGGACUACCAAUGCAUUGUGAUACGCUCUCAAAGAGUCGAGUUGUUUGGGAAUGCAGCUCAAAAUGGGUGGUAAAUUCCAUCUAAAGCUAAAUAUUGGCGAGAGACCGAUAGCGAACAAGUACCGUGAGGGAAAGAUGAAAAGAACUUUGGAAAGAGAGUUAAACAGUACGUGAAAUUGCUGAAAGGGAAACGCUUGAAGUCAGUCGCGUUGGCCAGGAAUCAACCUUGCUUCUGCUGGGUGUACUUUCUGGUUGACGGGUCAGCAUCAAUUUUGACUGUUGGAUAAAGUUCAGAGGAAUGUGGCAUCUUCGGAUGUGUUAUAGCCUCGGCUCGCAUACAACAGUUGGGAUUGAGGAGCUCAGCACGCCGCAAGGCCGGGUUUCGACCACGUACGUGCUUAGGAUGCUGGCAUAAUGGCUUUAAUCGACCCGUCUUGAAACACGGACCAAGGAGUCUAACAUGCCUGCGAGUGUUUGGGUGGAAAACCCGAGCGCGUAAUGAAAGUGAAAGUUGAGAUCCCUGUCGCGGGGAGCAUCGACGCCCGGACCAGACCUCUUGUGACGGUUCCGCGGUAGAGCAUGUAUGUUGGGACCCGAAAGAUGGUGAACUAUGCCUGAAUAGGGUGAAGCCAGAGGAAACUCUGGUGGAGGCUCGUAGCGAUUCUGACGUGCAAAUCGAUCGUCAAAUUUGGGUAUAGGGGCGAAAGACU
rnacentral:rRNA from 1 species